AUUUUGGACAAUGGGGGCAACCCUGAUCCAGCCAUGCCGCGUGCGGGAAGAAGGCCUUCGGGUUGUAAACCGCUUUUAGUCGGGAAGAAAAGACACGGGUGAAUACCCCGUGUUCUUGACGGUACCGGCGGAAUAAGCACCGGCUAACUACGUGCCAGCAGCCGCGGUAAUACGUAGGAUCCAAGCGUUGUCCGGAUUUACUGGGUGUAAAGGGUGCGCAGGCGGACUUGUUAGUCAGAGGUGAAAUCUCACUGCUUAACAGUGAAACUGCCUUUGAUACUGCAGGUCUUGAAUCCAGAAGAGAGUUGUGGAAUUCCGAGUGUAGCAGUGAAAUGUGUAGAUAUUCGGAAGAACACCAGCGGCGAAGGCAGCAACUUGGUCUGGUAUUGACGCUCAGGCACGAAAGCAUGGGGAUCAAAC
rnacentral:rRNA from 1 species